UACGGAAGGGGCAAGCGUUGUUCGGAAUCAUUGGGCGUAAAGGGCGCGUAGGUGGUUUUGUGUGUCUACCGUGAAAGCAUACAGCUCAACUGUAUUUUGUCGGUAGAAACUGCAGGACUUGAGGCUGGGAGGGGCUGGUGGAAUUCCCUGUGUAGCGGUGAAAUGCGUAGAGAUGGGGGAGAACACUCGUGGCGAAGGCAGCGCUCUGGUCGGCAUCUGACGCUGAGAGGCGAAAGCGUGGGGAGCGAACGGG
rnacentral:rRNA from 1 species